AGCCCUUGGCAAUGGGCAAAGAGAUACCUUUGUGGUAGUGUUCUUAUCAGUUAGGUGCAGAGCAGAUGGAAGUUAUAUGUUCAUUCUAGAUUGAUGCCUGGCUUGGUGGACAAAACUGUUUCAUGCCUAGAACUCAUAA